AGCGAACGCUGGCGGCGUGCUUAACACAUGCAAGUCGAACGGUAAGGCCCUUCGGGGUACACGAGUGGCGAACGGGUGAGUAACACGUGGGUGAUCUGCCCUGCACUUCGGGAUAAGCCUGGGAAACUGGGUCUAAUACCGGAUAGGACCACUGCCUGCAUGGGUGGGGGUGGAAAGCUUUUGCGGUGUGGGAUGGGCCCGCGGCCGAUCAGCUUGUUGGUGGGGUGAUGGCCUACCAAGGCGACGACGGGUAGCCGGCCUGGGAGGGUGACCGGCCACACUGGGACUGAGAUACGGCCCAGACUCCUACGGGGGGCAGCAGUGGGGAAUAUUGCACAAUGGGCGCAAGCCUGAUGCAGCGACGCCGCGUGAGGGAUGACGGCCUUCGGGUUGUAAACCUCUUUCAGCACCGACGAAGCGCAAGUGACGGUAGGUGCAGAAGAAGGACCGGCCAACUACGUGCCAGCAGCCGCCGUAA
rnacentral:rRNA from 1 species